AGCGUCAGACGGGGAGGGAUGGGGAACCGAGAGAGAGGAGGGAAGAGAAUGCUUCAUGCUUGCAUCUCACAUUUUAUAGCAGGGCAUGGACAACCCACCGUCCCUCCAUCAAGGAAAAAGACCUUAAUAUCACUGCUUCUCUGCUUUUGAAUUCAGUCUGAUUGGGCCACAAAAGGUAAAAAUACCAUAUCCAGAUUGACAGUGGAACAAUAUGGGUUUUGUUAUAACUGUGGUAAUCUUGUUGAGCCAUUCCAAGGGGCCACACAUAAAUUACAGGCAAAGUAUGGAGGAACACUGACUCACCUCUCUGCAGCCACUCCUCACUCCUCUGCCUCCCACUUGCAACCUCUGCUCAGUUAGAAAAAAAAAAAAAAAAAACUAGCCUAGUUUAACCAAUUGUCACUGUUCUUUUUUCACCCUUCAAGUGUUGUUUCAAAGAUGCAGCUUUCCAUAAAAGUCUCUGUGUGGAGUAGGAAUUUACAUAAUCCGAUUAGGGGCUGGGAUUAGCUCACAGCCUGGAGAACUGGCCUGAUGGGGGCCGUUUUCUGAAUUGGCCAUUCAUGGGCCUUGUUGCACGUCCAAGAGGCUGCACCUGCAGACCCAGCGCUACUGCUCCCUGCCACCGUCAGCCUCUACUCCAGGUCUGCAGACACACUCACUGCUGGGUGCUUCAGCCGGGAAUCAGGGACAGUCCAGACCUCAAGUAUAGUCAGGAACCAUUACUGCACCAUUAGGCUGCUGUUCACCUCGCCUUCAUUCGGGAGACUCCUUUGACCACCCUGCCGACUGCUUUUGUUCCUGUGCCAAUAAAAAAACAAACCAUUUCUCUCUCUCUGUUUGUCCAUGGCUUCUUAGAAGGCAGAGGCCAGCAAGACAGAGACGUAAAAAAAAAAAAAAAAAAGGGGAGGGGGGGACUGUCAGGUUAUUGAUGGUGGCUAACCAGUGCUGGAUGUGGCUGUCCAGAAGUAGGGAGGCUUGGAGUCUAUGUCCCCGGGGUCGUCUUUGUCUAGGGAUCAUUCCUGAGGGAACUGGCUUCACUCUGCUGGCUCGUGAAGAUAAGCACUCUCUCCACAUGCUGAGAGACCACGAUAAGGGGAUUGCUUCACUAAAUUAUAUAAAAAAAAAAGAAACCCCACCAAAGGAGCUGCUAAAAUGUGAGACUUUAUCAGUACAGCUGGGAAAGACCCUCGAUCUCACUCUUCCACUCAUAAAUCACUUUUUGUUUAAGCAUACCCAGUAUGGAAGAAAACAAA